UACGUAGGGGGCAAGCGUUGUUCGGAAUUACUGGGCGUAAAGGGCGCGUAGGCGGCACAGCAAGUCGGGAGUGAAAGCCCGGGGCUCAACCCCGGGAGGCGGGUGGAUACUGCUGAGCUCGAGUCCGGAAGAGGAGUGUGGAAUUCCUGGUGUAGCGGUGAAAUGCGCAGAUAUCAGGAGGAACACCAAUGGCGAAGGCAGCACUCUGGGACGGUACUGACGCUGAGACGCGAAAGCGUGGGGAGCAAACAGG
rnacentral:rRNA from 1 species